GAAAGGGAAAGAACAACAAAAAUGGACAUAGGAAUGAUAAUUUAUUAUAUGUACUUAAAAUUUAUAAAUAAACAAAACCUAUCCUCAAAUAUAAACAGUCAAAAUAUUUAUGAAGUUCAAAAAUACUUUGCGAUGCUUCUUUAUUAUCUCCGCCCUUUAUAAUUUUCUACUCGAGGAAUCUCAAAGAAGAUUGUUCUCUUUUUUAGAAAAUAGAUAACAUACUAUUUGUAGGCGCAACCCUGAGCACUUGUCUGGCUAUAUCACCCUUUUCCGCUUGGACAAGGAGACAGAAGUUUGAUUUUAGUUGGAUACAACCCAGAGGAUGGGUAUAGGGUAGAAAAAAUGGAGAUUAGCUUCGUGGAUAUCUCAAAAAAAAAAAAAAAAAAAAGAAGAAAAG
rnacentral:lncRNA from 1 species